rnacentral:rRNA from 1 species
AUGCUGAGGACUCCGGCGAGCGGCAGGAGGUCUGGGGAUGGGGGAUCCAUGGCGGAGGCGGCGGGAUCCGGCGGUCCUAGGCCGGAUUUGACGCGAAACGGCGGUGGAAGCUCUUGUUGCUGCAGUACAGGGAGAGAGAGACACAUGAGAGAGAAGAAAAUCGAGAGAGGGAGGAGAAGGAGACAGAGAGAGACGAGGGCGCGAGGCAGUUCCUGGCGGACGGCUCACCGACGGCGCCAAACGGCGAUGGCGAGGAAAAGGCUUCGGGAGGAGCUCCUCUCCUCCUGA